ACAAGUUAUGUUCGCACUGCUUGUCCCAAGUUGUCAACAAGAAUGAAACCACUUCCAUACUUGUUGACAACUUGGGACAAGCAGUGCGAACACAAGUU